CUACCGGAAAGCUAGUACAGAUUGAGCACGCAUUGACUGCCGUUGGAUCAGGCCAAACUUCUCUCGGAAUCAAAGCGGCAAACGGUGUUGUUAUUGCAACUGAGAAGAAAUUGCCAUCUAUUUUAAUCGAUGAAUCUUCUUAAUAACCUAAGUAUAGAGACAUGGGCUUGUAGCACUCUAAUUGAAGAAGCUGAUGAUUCUUGUGGAAAAGCAACGUGGAUUCUAGUCAAUGAGGUGUUGGUCUAGUAGUUAACAGGUUUAUAUUGAGAUUCUUAGGAGUCAUUUGAGUUUAGUGACAUCGGCUGGUAGAAAUCUGUUAAAAUUAGUUGUAAAUUUGUAAUUUUUAUUAGUAAUUUGAGCUUAGUGAUUUGGGCUCUUGCCAAUGAGGCGUUACUAUACUAGUUAAUGACUCUAAGAUUGAGACUUUGGAUGUUGGAGUCUCUAGAUUUAUAUCCUCAUUAAUCCCACAUUGUAUAAAAAGGUGUUGUUGAUUAUUUUAAAUCGUCUUGAAUGAGGUGGAGAUGGUUUGAUUUUGGAGCCA